CCUACGGGAGGCAGCAGUGGGGAAUUUUGGACAAUGGACGCAAGUCUGAUCCAGCCAUGCCGCGUGCGGGAAGAAGGCCUUCGGGUUGUAAACCGCUUUUGUGGAAAGGUCGGUACCUGAAGAAUAAGCACCGGCUAACUACGUGCCAGCAGCCGCGGUAAUACGUAGGGUGCAAGCGUUAAUCGGAAUUACUGGGCGUAAAGCGUGCGCAGGCGGUUAUGCAAGACAGAUGUGAAAUCCCCGGGCUCAACCUGGGAACUGCAUUUGUGACUGCAUAGCUAGAGUACGGUAGAGGGGGAUGGAAUUCCGCGUGUAGCAGUGAAAUGCGUAGAUAUGCGGAGGAACACCGAUGGCGAAGGCAAUCCCCUGGCCGUACUGACGCUCAUGCACGAAAGCGUGGGGAGCAAACAGGAUUAGAUACCCUUGUAGUC
rnacentral:rRNA from 1 species